rfam:Ascoidea rubescens DSM 1968 unplaced genomic scaffold ASCRTscaffold_9, whole genome shotgun sequence.
GGUUGGAUGGCCGAGUGGUCUAAGGCGCCAGGUUAAGGUCCUGGUCUCUUCGGAGGCGCGAGUUCGAACCUCGCUUCAAUCA